CUUAGGGCGCAGACUGAGCCAACCACUUGGCUCUCCACCCCUACAUGUCAGAUCCUAAGUGCUAAGGGAUGGAUGGUCAUCCCUACAGUCAUCCCUGGCUGGAAGAAAGGUGGACAGGAAGCUCAAAGAAGGAUGUGUUCUCCAUUCUCACUGUCUCCCGCCAGCUUUGGAAGUCAUACUUUCCUCCUGCUCUUCUUUUCCCAACAGAACUCAGAUGUUUCUUGCUCUGUUACCAUGGUGCCCAACUCCAUCACGUACCCGCCCAGCAGCCCUACUCCUAGCUCCAUGCCUUUAGGAAUGACUCCAUUGGAUACAUGUAGAUUCACCUCUAAUGUAAGGGACUACAAGGCACUGAACUUUGCACACUGAGCUAUAAAUGGGCAUAUUUAAGCUAAAUACGUUGUUGAGCCAAAGUGGGGAAGCAGAAAAGAAGACAUUUUGAACUUUUAAGAAAGGAGAGGAAGAGUUGCUUGCCCAGAUAAAAAGAUGUUAAAGCCAUGUUUUAGGAUAAACCAUUCCUAGUUAGUAGUAAAUGAGGAACCAGACCUCUCGUUUCUCUAGUAUCAUAAUUGAGUCUGCGUGUAUGUGUAUGGAAUUGAAUGCACACACAUAAACAUACCAUUUAAAUACAGAGCAACUGAGGAGUACCAAAAGGUGGAAUUUAUAAAAAAGAAAGAAAGAAAGCACACCAAAGCUUCCCCAGGGAGGAACGUUUAUCUCCUUUGCUUUCCAUACAGUACUCACUUCUAUUAAUAUUUAAGUUUAGUUGUUAUUCCAUAAACUAAAAAAUACAAACACAGAGGCUUUGAUCUUAAGAAUGAUAGCAGACGCCCCAGAUUAACUUUAUGGGAAUCUUCUAGAACAUAAAAACAAUUAAGAAAAGUAUUAAACUCUACAAUCUUAUUUCAAGACAAUAAGAAAAUUGGCUGAUACUUUAGACUGUAUGAGCUCAUGAAAAAAUUGCCAAAUUUUUCUAACUUUUUUUAAAGCACUGUUAUUUCCACUAUGAACUGAACCAGGCAUGCAUUUUCUUUUCUUACGACCCAAACAAAUGGAACACAGAUAAAUUACUCAACAACUUGGAAAAAAAAUACCCCCAUAUCUAACUUUUGUAGCUUCAUUAUUCUCUGCAUAGCUGCUUUCAGAAAACUAACAUGACCCUAUUCGGCUUGCAGAAUUCCUAGCAGCAUGUGUCAAACCUCACUAAUUAGUUUGAGAUACUAUAGCAUACCCCUGACAUAAACUACAUUCUACAUACUAGAAUAAUUGAUGGAUAGACGUGCAGGCGAAUGGUCAGAGUCUGUAAACAGGCGAGAACAUGCUAUAACCAGACUCCGAGUUACGCUGAAUGCCGGCUAAGUCGAUCCCAGAAGUCAGAAUGCCGAAGAUGAGUCCAUUUUAGCUGUAAUUUAUAAGACUGAUCGUUCUUUAAUAUGAAUAAAGUAAUAUGAGCUUGAAGGAGGAAGGGAUUGAAAGAAUGAAAGAGGUUUGCGUUCCUUGAGAGCCAGAGCUACUCAGGAGGCACAAGACACAAACGAACCAACAAAAAAUGUCCUACUUCCCCACCGAACUCCAAGGCCUGACAGACAGCGCGAGGAAAGGCCUUCUUUGACAAAUAUUUCUAACAUCUGUGGUCCGAUUUAAACGUCAAUGAUGAAAUUAGUUAAAUUAGUUCUAGCUUUCUAUUUUUUGUUUUCCCUUUUUCUUUUGUAACUUAACAGCCUUUAUUGCCCCCAGGAUAACAAUCGACCAACUUCACAGUCUCCUUUAGGAUGCAGGGCCAAAAAUGGUGUUCAACUGCAGGCCAGGUCACAAGUGCCCUUCUACACUCGUAGGACGGGAAAGUGCCCUGACUGGGCAGGACAGUGGCAAAAUUCCUCUGACUGAGCAAGAAUUGGGUCCCUUUUGAUAUGAUGGCAAAAUGAUGAUCUAUGCACUGUGGGAGAAAAUUGGGGAAGUAGAAGGGAAUAAACCCAAAUACCAGAGGGACAGGCUGGGCUCCCAGGCACUAAGAUUAUGGGCAACUUAGACCCUAAAUAUUUUCUUUGUCAUAAAUACACUUGAAAAGAGCUUGUAGAAAGAAAUUCUUAUAAAUUUGAUGCUUAGGUAGACAGAAUAAUUUUAUCUAUAGAUAUACAUAUAUGGUGUGCAUAUAUUUUCAUAGGCAAUUAUUUCUUUCUUUAGUAAACCAAAGUCUGGGCUCAAUUUUGGAAAGCAGAAAUAUCUGUACCCG
rnacentral:lncRNA from 1 species